GACGAACGCUGGCGGCGUGCUUAACACAUGCAAGUCGAACGGAAAGGCCCUGCUUUUGUGGGGUGCUCGAGUGGCGAACGGGUGAGUAACACGUGAGUAACCUGCCCUUGACUUUGGGAUAACUUCAGGAAACUGGGGCUAAUACCGGAUAGGAGCUCCUGCUGCAUGGUGGGGGUUGGAAAGUUUCGGGGGUUGGGGAUGGACUCGCGGCUUAUCAGCUUGUUGGUGGGGUAGUGGCUUACCAAGGCUUUGACGGGGAGCCGGCCUGGGAGGGUGACCGGCCAAAUAGGGGAUGGAGACGGGGCCGGGCCCCCUGGGGGGGGAGGCGGGGGGAAAUUGGGGAAAAGGGGGGGAGCCUGGUGCCAGAAACCCGGGGGGGGGGAAGAGGCUUUGGGGUUGGAAACGGGUUUGCCGUAGGGAAGAGGGAAGGGACGGGAAAGGGAGAAGAAGCCACCGGCAAAUAAGGG
rnacentral:rRNA from 1 species